CAAAGAGUAAAUAAAAAUGAAGGAAACAUAAAUUCAAGAAUAUUUACUUGGUGGAAUUAUGAAAAAGGUUACACACUAAGGCAACAUCUUGGCUACGUUAUCGUGGUGGUCGAGAGUUAACGGAACAAGUUGCGUAUACUCGUUCAUCGUAUGGGAAAAGAUGUCCCGUUCCGUUUUAUUUGGCCAAGAAUGCCCGAAACUACAUACUUGUAUAGACUUUUGAUGCUGAUUCAUCAUAAAAUUCAUCAUCAGUAAUUGCGCACAGUAAAAAACAUUGCGUAUCUCUGUUAAAAAAGGACAAAUGAAUAAAAAGAGACGGAAUGAAGAAUAGAAAUAGAAACAAGGAGCGGCUUAGGUAACUCUGUUGUCGACGUUUAGAUGCAGCAGGUACCGCAUUUAUAUAAGAUUGUAGACACCGACUUAGAGAUCACAAGCUUCGUAAAUAUACCUGUUGUUCCAAGUCUACUGAUAUAUAACUAAGACGGUUAGUUAGUUAUACUUUAUGGCUGUCUACAACGAGGCAUUAUACACAGAAAAAAGGAUUAUACCCCAAGAAAUAGUGGAAAAGUUAUAGAAAAUUCACACACUGUUUGCGGUAACCUGAAUCACAAUUUAUAGUACAGGUGACUUCCAUUAACUCGGAACUUCUCCUGAAUAUUGACCCCCACUAAGAGCUACGCUGUCUCCCACCCAAUGCUAUACAUUGGUAUGUUCUGUGUAUGUUUAAUCAUGCAUUAUUCAUGUAGAGUGUGCGCAUGCGCAGUAGUUCACUUUUUAAAGAAGAAGGGGCAUUCGAUAAGUCGAAAUUUUCAUGAAAUUUCCUCCCCUCCAUAGACUAACUGUCUGUUAAUGGAAUUCGACUGUUCUACUAAUCGGCAAGUAAAAAAAUCUGUAGAAUUUUUUAAGUGAAAUUUUACUACAUUUGAUGUAAAAUAAUUACUAAUUUGUAGUUAAAAUAUCACUAAUUGUAGUAAAUUGGACUACAC